rnacentral:rRNA from 1 species
ACCGGAGAAUGUUAUCACGGGAGACACACGGCGGGUGCUAACGUCCGUCGUGAAGAGGGAAACAACCCAGACCGCCAGCUAAGGUCCCAAAGUCAUGGUUAAGUGGGAAACGAUGUGGGAAGGCCCAGACAGCCAGGAUGUUGGCUUAGAAGCAGCCAUCAUUUAAAGAAAGCGUAAUAGCUCACUGGUCGAGUCGGCCUGCGCGGAAGAUGUAACGGGGCUAAACCAUGCACCGAAGCUGCGGCAGCGACACUCAGGUGUUGUUGGGUAGGGGAGCGUUCUGUAAGYCUGYGAAGGUGGCCUGUGAGGGUUGCUGGAGGUAUCAGAAGUGCGAAUGCUGACAUAAGUAACGAUAAAGCGGGUGAAAAGCCCGCUCGCCGGAAGACCAAGGGUUCCUGUCCAACGUUAAUCGGGGCAGGGUGAGUCGACCCCUAAGGCGAGGCCGAAAGGCGUAGUCGAUGGGAAACGGGUUAAUAUUCCCGUACUUGGUGUUACUGCGAAGGGGGGACGGAGAAGGCUAUGUUGGCCGGGCGACGGUUG